rnacentral:rRNA from 1 species
GUCAUUUAGAGGAAGUAAAAGUNGUAACAAGGUUUCCGUAGGUGAACCUGCGGAAGGAUCAUUAUCAAAANNCUUGGUCAAUUUAGAGGAAGUAAAAGUCGUAACAAGGUCUCCGUUGGUGAACCAGCGGAGGGAUCAUUACCGAGUUUUUACAACUCCCAACCCUAUGUGAACCUUACCAAUCGUUGCUUCGGCGGAACGCCCCGCGGCCCUUCUGGGCCCGGAACCAGGCGCCCGCCGGGGAACCCAAACUCUUCUGUUUUUUAGUUGUAUCUUCUGAGUGGAUUUAAACAAAUGAAUCAAAACUUUCAACAACGGAUCUCUUGGUUCUGGCAUCGAUGAAGAACGCAGCGAAAUGCGAUAAGUAAUGUGAAUUGCAGAAUUCAGUGAAUCAUCGAAUCUUUGAACGCACAUUGCGCCCGCCAGUAUUCUGGCGGGCAUGCCUGUUCGAGCGUCAUUUCAACCCUCAAGCUCUGCUUGGUGUUGGGGACCGGCCGCAGCCCUAGUGCUCUGCCGCCCCCUAAAUACAGUGGCGGUCCCGCCGCAGCCUCCUUUGCGUAGUAGUAAACCACCUCGCACACGGAACGCAGCGCGACCACGCCGUUAAACCCCCCAACUUUCUGAAGUUUGACCUCGGAUCAGGUAGGAAUACCCGCUGAACUUAAGCAUAUCAAU